rnacentral:rRNA from 1 species
GGCCCCUGCUAAUGUCACAGGGGGUCACACCUGCACAAUGCCUUACGGGGUCAAUUGCCGCGGUAACCUGACCGUGCAAAGGUAGCGUAAUAAAUAGCCUAUUAAUUGUUGGCCUGUAUGAAUGGUUCGACGCUGAUAACACUGUCUCUGAAGCAUUAAUUUGAAUUUAACCUUUUGGUGAAAAGGCCAAAAUAAAUCUGAAAGACGAUUAGACCCUGUCGAACUUUAGGUGAAAAAAUAGCAAUUAGAUAACUAAAAGCUAUUAUUAAACCUUUGGUUGGGGAAACCGGGGACUAAAAAAACCGCCCCCUCUUUUAAGUAAACACCCGUUAUGUUAUAAAUUAAAAAUAGAAUUUAUUUAUAGGGCAAUUAGCCUUCAGGAAAGUAAAACAAUAAAAACUACAUAAGUCUGACAAGUCCCAAAAUAACUUAUAAAAUGAACGUAAUUUUCUUAAACCAAAGGAAACUAACAAAAAGGAAGAGUUACCGCAGGGAUAACAGCGUUAUCCUCCCGGCGAGACCACAUUAAGGGGAGGGUUUGCGACCUCGAUGUUGGCUCAGGGCAUCCCAAAAAUGCAGCAGUUUUUAAAGGUUGGUCUGUUCCACCAUUAAAGCCCUACGU